rnacentral:rRNA from 1 species
GAUGAACGCUGGCGGCGUGCCUAAUACAUGCAAGUCGAGCGAACGGACGAGAAGCUUGCUUCUCUGAUGUUAGCGGCGGACGGGUGAGUAACACGUGGAUAACCUACCUAUAAGACUGGGAUAACUUCGGGAAACCGGAGCUAAUACCGGAUAAUAUUUUGAACCGCAUGGUUCAAAAGUGAAAGACGGUCUUGCUGUCACUUAUAGAUGGAUCCGCGCUGCAUUAGCUAGUUGGUAAGGUAACGGCUUACCAAGGCAACGAUGCAUAGCCGACCUGAGAGGGUGAUCGACCACACUGGAACUGAGACACGGUACAGACUCCUACGGGAGGCAGCAGUAGGGAAUCUUCCGCAAUGGGCGAGAGCCUGACGGAGCAACGCCGCGUGAGUGAUGAAGGUCUUCGGAUCGUAAAACUCUGUUAUUAGGGAAGAACAUAUGUGUAAGUAACUGUGCACAUCUUGACGGUACCUAAUCAGAAAGCCACGGCUAACUACGUG